rnacentral:rRNA from 1 species
UGGGGAAUUUUGGACAAUGGGCGAAAGCCUGAUCCAGCAAUGCCGCGUGUGUGAAGAAGGCCUUCGGGUUGUAAAGCACUUUUGUCCGGAAAGAAAUCCUCUGGGUUAAUACCUCGGGGGGAUGACGGUACCGGAAGAAUAAGCACCGGCUAACUACGUGCCAGCAGCCGCGGUAAUACGUAGGGUGCAAGCGUUAAUCGGAAUUAGCUGGGCGUAAAGCGUGCGCAUGGCGGUUUUGUAAGACGGAUGUCGGAAAUUCCCCAGGGCUUAAGCCAUGGGAAUCUGCAUUCGUGACGUGCAAGGCUAGAGGAUAUGGCAGGGAGGGGGGUAGAAUUCCCACGUGUAGCAGUGAAAUGCGUAGAGAUGUGGAGGAAUACCGAUGGCGAAGGCAGCCCCCUGGGCCAAUACUGACGCUCAUGCACGAAAGCGUGGGAGCAAACAGGAUUAGAUACCCUGGUAGUCCACGCCCUAAACGAUGUCAACUAG